UACGAAGGGGGCUAGCGUUGCUCGGAAUCACUGGGCGUAAAGCGCACGUAGGCGGCUUUUUAAGUCAGAGGUGAAAUCCUGGAGCUCAACUCCAGAACUGCCUUUGAUACUGAGGAUCUUGAGUUCGGGAGAGGUGAGUGGAACUGCGAGUGUAGAGGUGAAAUUCGUAGAUAUUCGCAAGAACACCAGUGGCGAAGGCGGCUCACUGGCCCGAUACUGACGCUGAGGUGCGAAAGCGUGGGGAGCAAACAGGG
rnacentral:rRNA from 1 species